rnacentral:sRNA from 1 species
CACGUUCAGCGGACACGGGAGCAAGAUGGCGAUUCCGGGCAGGCAUAGAGACGGGGCUUCAUCAGGUUGGCCACGCUGAUCUCAAACUCCUGAGCUCAAGUGAUACGGCUGCCUCAGCCUCCCAAAGCGCUGGGAUUACAGACCUCUGUGAGUGAAAGCCUUCAGAGGGAAGCUGCUAAGAAGCAGGCCAUGAAACAGACCAAACUGGAAAUCCAGAAGGCCCUUGCAGAAGAUGCUACUGUGUAUGAAUAUGACAGUAUUUAUGAUGAAAUGCAGAAAAAAAAGGAGGAAAAUAAUCCCAAAUUGCUUUUGGGGAAAGACAGAAAGCCCAAGUAUAUUCACAACUUGCUAAAAGCAGUUGAGAUCAGAAAAAAGGAACAGGAAAAAAGAAUGGAAAAGAAAAUACAGAGAGAACGAGAAAUGGAAAAGGGGGAGUUUGAUGAUAAAGAAGCAUUUGUGACAUCUGCAUAUAAGAAAAAACUGCAAGAGAGAGCUGAAGAAGAAGAAAGAGAAAAGAGGGCUGCUGCACUGGAAGCAUGUUUGGAUGUAACCAAGCAGAAAG